CUCGCAUUGAUUCGUUACAUUUGCAGUUUAAUUUUGUUUAAGAGACGGUUGGAAUACAAAUCUUAAAAAAUCGUUAAAAUGCAAAUCUCAUUACAAUCUGUAGUAAUAUUAUUGUUGGAAGUUCUGAUUGCAGCUGAACUGAUCACGUGUGCUCCUCAAGGCAUAUUACCUCCAAUUAUGUUAUCGUAUGUGAUGCCAGGUGCAGGAGGAGGACUUGCAAAUGGAAAAUAAGCCCUUCAUUGAAUGGAUUGCCGAUUGAAUCAUUUGAAGGUGUAAAGGGCGUAUAGAAAAUGAUUUUUUUUUGAUUAUUUGAGACAUAAAUAAACAUCCUUGUCGGUAUACCAAAACUA